rnacentral:rRNA from 1 species
UACGUAGGGACCAAGCGUUGUUCGGAUUUACUGGGCGUAAAGCGCACGUAGGCGGCUAUUCAAGUCGGGGGUGAAAGCCCGGGGCUCAACCCCGGAACAGCCCUCGAAACUAGAUAGCUAGAAUCUUGGAGAGGCGAGUGGAAUUCCGAGUGUAGAGGUGAAAUUCGUAGAUAUUCGGAAGAACACCAGUGGCGAAGGCGACUCGCUGGACAAGUAUUGACGCUGAGGUGCGAAAGCGUGGGGAGCAAACAGG